rnacentral:rRNA from 1 species
GACAGAGGUGCCGAGCGUUAGGCGGAAUCACUGGGCUUAAAGCGUGUGUAGGCGGGCGGCCAAGUACCUUGUGAAAUCCCACGGCUCAACCGUGGAACUGCGUGGUAUACUGGUCGUCUUGAGCCAAUCAGGGGCGAGCGGAACAGACGGUGGAGCGGUGAAAUGCGUAGAGACCCGGAGGAACACCAGUGGCGAAGGCGGCUUCCUGGUCUGCGACUGACGCUGUGGCGCGAAAGCUAGGGGAGCAAACGGG